GGGUGUAAGCACCGACCUAUGAAAGACCGGGUGCAUUCGGGAAUCCUCUGGGAGGGUCAACCGAAAGCUACGGGAUUGAUCCUGCCCUCAACUUGGUAUGGCCCUAGCUGUUUGUGUCCUAGCUUCUUCUUAGCUAACGACUUGGCCGGCACCGCCUGGGCUGCUAACCAUACCCAGUCCCCCACCUGGAUGUCUUCUCCUGCCCUCCUGUGCCUGUCUGCCUGCACUUUGUAGGCGUGUUUAGCUAGUUCCAAGUGCCGUCGUAGCUCCUCGUGGACCUCCUGCAAUUCUGCUGCUAAAUGUUCCGCUCCCCGCGACUCCCCCUGCGUCGUUGUCUCCAACGCCGGGAAGGUUCUGGGAUGUCGCCCAUUGUUGGCGAAGAACGGUGUCACCCCCGUUGACGCGUGCUUCGUGUUGUUGUAGGCAAACUCGGCCAUCGGUAAGUAGUCCACCCAAGUUGCAGGAUUCUGAUUGGCGUAACAUCGCAGGUACUGCUGCAUGAUGGCGUUGACUCUCUCCGCUUGGCCGUUGGUUUGCGGGUGUCUCGCCGACGCUAAGUUGAUCUUGACAUUCAGGAUGCCCAGGAGCUUCUGCCAGAAACUGGAAAUGAAUUGGCGACCCCGGUCGGACAAGAUGGACCGUGGUAAGCCGUGCACCCGGAACACGUGGUCUAUGAACAGCUUGGCGGUCUGUUCCGCUGUUGCCACCUUCGCGCAAGGAAUGAAGUGCGCCAUCUUGGUGAACAGAUCUACAACCACAAGCACCGCCGUCUUGCCCCGCGAACUGGGCAGAUCAGUGACAAAGUCCAGCGCCACCCUUUCCCACGGCUGCAGUGGCGUCUCCAGCGGUUCCAGCAAUCCCGCUGGCUUCUUGUGCACUGGCUUGGACCUCUGACAAGUGUCACACCUGGCGACGUAAUCCGCGACCUCUCCCCGCAUCUGGGGCCACCAAAAGUCUCUGGCUACUAAGUCCGCCGUCUUUUCCUUGCCGAAGUGACCCGCGCUGGGGGCGUCGUGUAACUGCUGUAAAACCUUCGCGCGGAGAUCGUCUCCCGGGACGUAGAGAGCACCUUUGCGGGUCAGCAGGCCGUCGCGUAUCUGGAAUUCGCCGUCCUGUGCUGUCCCUCUUCGCACCUCCUCCAUCUUGGAUUGUGCGAACGGAUCCGUCUGUAGCGCGCGUCGUACCGCGUCCAGGUCCACGGCGGCGGAAGCGCACGCCCACGCUUGCGGUGCGAAAAUGUGCCUGGCUGCCACCGGUGCCGCUUCCUCGAGAUACUGCGGUUUCCUGGAAAGCGCAUCCGCUAUGACGUUGUUGUCUCCCGGGAUAUACUCUAUCCGGAAAUCGAAAUCCGCAAAGAACUCCGCCCAUCUCAUGUGCCUCUGGCUCUGGAGCUUCGCCGUGCGCCAAUACUCUAGGUUCUUGUGGUCCGUGCGGACCUGCACGGUGUGCUUGGCUCCGAUGAGGAAGUGCCGCCACGCCUUGAAAGCCGCGUGGAUGGCCAACAACUCCCUGUCCCAGAUGGUGUAGUUCUGUUCCGACUUGCUGAGCUUCCGGGAAUAGAAAGCGCAGGGCCUCCAGUUCCCUUGCAAAUCUUCCUGCAAGAGGACGGCCCCCACUGCUCUGUCAGAUGCGUCAGUCUCAACUCGCAUGGGCCUGCCGGGAUUCACGUGUAGCAGCUGGUCUUCGGACGCGAAGAGACUCUUAAGUCUCCUGAAGGACUGCUCCGCCUGGUCCGUCCAGGUGAACUUUUUCUUCUUGGAACUGAGGGUGUCCGUGAUAGCUGCCGUCUCUUUCGCGAAACCCCUGAUGAACUUGCGGUAAAAGUUGGCGAAGCCGGCGAACCUCUGGACCUCCUUCCGAUUGCGCGGGCUAUUCCAGUCCAACACCGCGCGGACCUUGGCGCUGUCCAUGGCUAGUCCCUUGUCGGACAGCCGGUAGCCCAGGAAAUCCACCUCCGUCACGUCGAACUGGCACUUCUCCAGCUUGGCGUAGAGUCUGUGCUCCCGUAGCCUCUGCAGGACCUCCUUUACGUCUCUUUCGUGAGUCUCCUGCGAUUCCGAGAAGAUCAGAAUAUCGUCGAGAAAGCAUACGCACUUCUUGUAGAGGAGUCCUGCUAGCACGUGGUGCAUGAAUGCUUGAAAACAGUGGGAGCCACCUUGGAGACCAAACGGCAUAACUCUGUAUUCAUAGGUGCCCAGCGGCGUGAACAUGGCCGUCUUCCACUCGUCACCCUCCCUCAUGCGUAUUAGAUUGUAUGCUCCGCGUAGAUCCAACUUGGUGAAGAUCCUCCCCUUCCUCACCGUCGCGAGCAGGUCGUCAAUCUUGGGCAUGGGGAAAGCCUUGGGUUUCGUCAUCGAGUUUAUGGCCCUAUAGUCCACAAUGAGCCGUUUUUGGGGCGUGUCCUUCUUCUUCACGAAAAACACAGGACUGCCCCCCCACUGCCUUGGAUUCUCGGAUCAAUCCCCGCUUCAAAUUGUGAUCUAUGAACUCCCUGAGCUCCUGCAUCUCAUCUUCAGACAUGGAAUACAGCUUCGCAGUCGGCAGCGUCGCCCCUGGUAAGAGGUCAAUUGCACAGUCGUAGGGCCGGUGGGGUGGUAAUUGGUCAGCUUCCUUCUCGCAGAAGACCUCCAAAAACCCCUUGUACUUGUGGGGCACUGCCUGCACCAUGCCUAGAUGCAGCUGUUGCCCUUCCUCCUGGCCCUCCUCCUCCUGGCCGAUCUGGAUGCAAUGUUGUGCGCAGUAGGACGAGCCAAAGGUGAGCUGCCUCUGGUACCACGCCAAUGAUGGGCUGUGUCUAUCCAGCCAACUCAUGCCUAACACUAUGGGCGUGUCUGACAGUUGGGUGACAUUGAAACUGAUGACCUCGCGAUGAUUCCCAAUUUUCAGCAGCAUGGGUGGCGUCUGUUGUACCACUUGCCCACCCAGCAACUUCCUGCCAUCUACAGUGACCACAUUCAGAGGCAGCGUGGCUGGUAGUAGCGCUAUGCGAUGCUGCUUGACGAACUGCACCCCACGAAGUCUGCGUUGCUCCCUGAGUCAAUCGUAAUGGGGACUUCCAGGGUGAGUCCAUUAGGCAGCUGGAGAGUAGCAGUGAGCUGCACCACUGGCUUGGGUGGUAAGGGGUCUGUAGGCUGCAAAAGCGCUGGGGACUGCUUCACUGACUUGCCUGGCGGAGCCCCAGCAUCUCUCCCUCCAACCAGGCAUUCUCGUUUCCCUGAAACUGCUCUCCUUGGAGCGCUGCUUCUGUUACUGUUGCUAAGGCUGCAGUGUGCUUCUGGAGCCUCUGGGGACACUCUUUAGCCAUGUGCCGUGCACUGUCACAGAUGUAACACUUCCUGGUCCCUCUAGGAGGCUUCGCUUUGACUGCUCCUGACGCUGAGGCUCCGGCAGCUGUCUGAGCCUUUGCACCACCCAGUUCCAUUGGUUCUUCCCCCGCUGCCAGCACAGGCGAAAGGUUUGAACGUUCCAGGUCCCUGGAAGGAAAAGGAGGCGCUCUAGCUGGUGGGCGGACGUGAUGCCCCUCCUCCCUGUGCCAAGGGCGUUCUUCGUGGCGCACCCCUAUCAUGAGUGCCCUCUGCACGACGUCUGCUAGGGUUUGAGGUCUGUCUCCCUGCCAGCUCAUCUUUCACUGAGCCAUGAAGCCCUUUCCAGAACAAGUCCCUCACUGCCAGGAGUCCUUUUCCCAGCCCAGCACAUUCAGCAAUGCAAAAAAGCGAGAAUGGUACUGACGCACUGUAGCCUUGCCCUGCCGCAAUCCAUGCAUCUCCUGGCGUGCCACAUCAACGUCAACAGUAGAUUGGAAGCAAGCGUCCAUGGCUUUGAGAAAUUCAUCAGAGUCCCUGCGUGCAAGACCAUCUUCGCGCCACAAAUUGCGUAACCAGGUCCUUGCUUCCCCAUGCAGAUGGGACACAAUAAAACCCACUUUUUCCUCCUCAUCUUUGAAGUCUUUUCGAAGCAAAUGCAGCGCGUAUACGACGUCUGCUCUGAAAUUGGGAUAAUGCUUCAGGUUCCCAUCGAAGUGGGCUACUAAAUUGCCCCCCCUCCGUCCGAGUCCGAUUCCCUCUGAUCUGGACCCCGGGAACCCCUCUCUGCACGCCCGAUCCCACCUGGCUUGCAGAUCCUGGCAUCGCGCUUCUGCUUCGGCAACCGUCUUCUGAGAGACCACGACGGCAGUGGAGAGCUCGGUGACUGCGUUUUGCAGGGACGCUAUCUGCUCCUCAGUAGUCAUCGCUGCCAAACUUCGUGAGCUUUGC